rnacentral:rRNA from 1 species
GGGAUAAUCAUGUGAAAACGUGACUAAUACCGCAUGUCGUUUCGGGAGGGCAUCCUCCUGAAAGAAAAGGAGUAAUCCGGUAUGAGAUGGGCCCGCAUCUGAUUAGCUAGUUGGUGAGAUAACAGCCCACCAAGGCGACGAUCAGUAGCCGACCUGAGAGGGUGAUCGGCCACAUUGGGACUGAGACACGGCCCAAACUCCUACGGGAGGCAGCAGUGGGGAAUAUUGCACAAUGGGGGAAACCCUGAUGCAGCAACGCCGCGUGAAGGAAGACGGUUUUCGGAUUGUAAACUUCUAUCAAUAGGGACGAAGAAAGUGACUGUACCUAAAUAAGAAGCCCCGGCUAACUGCGUGCCAGCAGCCGCGGUAAUACGUAGGGGGCAAGCGUUAUCCGGAAUUACUGGGUGUAAAGGGUGAGUAGGCGGCAUGGCAAGUAAGAUGUGAAAGCCCGAGGCUUAACCUCGGGAUUGCAUUUUAAACUGCUAAGCUAGAGUACAGGAGAGGAAAGCGGAAUUCCUAGUGUAGCGGUGAAAUGCGUAGAUAUUAGGAAGAACGCCAGUGGCGAAGGCGGCUUUCUGGACGGAAACUGACGCUGAGGCACGAAAGCGUGGGGAGCGAACAGGAUUAGAUACCCUGGUAGUCCACGCCGUAAACGAUGAGUGCUAGGUGUCGGAGGGGAACCUUCGGUGCCGCAG